GGAAGGGAAGGAAUGCUCAGGAUAAGUCUAAGAAGCAAGGUGGAAGGUGAUCUUCGUCAACAAGAGCUUACGACAUGAUGUAGAAAAGGAUUCUGGUCAGAAGAACAGGGAGUUUGAAGAUGUCUACUGAUAGGUACAAAGCAUUAUGGAUAAGAUCAUUACUAUUCAGAAACGUAGUGCAACAGAUUAGAGUGAAUCUGAGGAGACUUCGACAAAGAAGUGAAAGAUGCUGAAACUACUGCAAAGGUCACUGUUGCAUCCUCGUUCUUCAGUACUUAGGUUCCAAGAAGACAGGUGCAGAUGCUGAUUGGAUCUUCAUUGGGACUCUACAAUUAUUAACUACGAGGCUAGCAAGAUCCUGCCACGUCGAGCAACGUUGCCAACUUAGCAUUUUUAAUGAUAGCUAGAUCUAGCAUUUUCUUGAACUAAUUAGCAGGACAAUUUUGAAUCUUGCAUCUGCUAGAAAACUAGCAUUUAUUUUUCAGUACAUCUAGCAUAUUAUGACAUAAAAACUUUCUAAUGUCAAGCCGAAUAUUUUUCGAUUCUAAUUUUGAUAUAUAUAGUAAAAUGAAAAAAACAUUGUAACAGAACCAUUGUCAGGACUUAACAAAAUAGGUUUCGAAACUAUCAGGAAUCACCAUAGUGCACACAUUGGAAACAUGCUCGAAAGAGCAACUCAUACCUCCCCUUGAGGCACUGAAAUUAAAUGCUAUAGAUAGGCUAUAGCAAAUAUUGAACUACAAUAUCACAGUGUUCUGUUGUGGACAGAAGUUUCUAACUACAGAGAUGUCAUUGGAAGUAAUCCCUACAAAGAUGUUGCAAAUUUUGCACGAAAUCUCUUCAUUUUCAGCACUCAAAUGCUGAAGUAGAAAGAAUAGUUAGCAGCAUGAAUAUUAUCAACACAAAGCUGAGGAACAAAAUGCAUCUCACAAAACAUAGAGAUGUGCCUUCUGUAAAGUAUGGAUUAACGCGACACGAUAAAUGCUGGAAAUAAUACAAUUUGCCUCAAGAAAAUGUAAAUCAAAUUGGUGCCUACAACAGCUACAUAUAAAGCUCCCGAGCAAGGAAGCGGUGCAGGGAACACGUAAACUAUCGAGAUGUAGAAGACUUCACAUUAAUUCAAUUUCGGCAUCCUAAAUGAGAUCUAGCUUCUUCGCUUCGGUUUAGCUGAAGUAGGUGCGUCAUUUUCUGGGGUUAAUUUUUUUUUCUUUAUGGAGCAACAUUAGCAUGAAAUUGCCAUUUGCAAUUUGGCAACAUUGAUACUGGAACGCCGCGCCGUCGGGAACGGGAAGUCAGUCAGUAGUCACGCCGGUCUCGCAAACAGUGGUCGUCGUUGAUUGCCCGUCUCUCUCCCAACUACGAUCUCUAGCCUAGUAGUUUCUGGCAUCGUGUUUGGUGUUUGUCUAGUGAAAUCUUGCCACGCUAUUCCUUGAUGCUUACCGGGAACACUGUACAAUAUGGUCAUAUUGUUUUACCAUCUUGUUUAAUCUGGAGUGAGUGCAGGACCGCAAACGGGCGCCACAUCCGGAGAAACCAACGCCAUGGAAUGCCGACGAUGUCAUGGCUGACGUCGGUUAACGUGAGCAAGGUAAUGAUGCGUUUAACUUUGUGCCUCACAUUUUAGUGUAGUUUUAUCAGAUUAUGCCAUGAUAAGUGGCCUUAUAGGGAGGUGGGAUCUUACACCUUGGGGCUUUUGAAGUUUUUCGGCAGAUCAUCAACGAAGUGCGACUUUAUGAAGUUUACUCUUAGUGGUUGUAUCUUGAAGCUUGAUACCACAUUGUUAGUUGUGACGUCAGUUUAUGUAGAUUAUAAUAUUAAAAAGGUGGCAAAUAGGCCACUUGAAAGUUAAAGGACACCCUCACGGUUAGGCUAAUG